CGCCCGUCAGCUCUUGCAAUCCCUCUUGGCAGGCUGAGGAGAGCGGGAAGGACCUGGCUGCCUUCCAAGGAGCAGCAAAUGCAAAUAUUUCCUCACUUCAGGCUGGGUGCGGCCCGCGGAUAAAAUUUCCUUGGGCUUUCCCAGCGAAGGCAUCCGAGCUCUCGCUCUGCUGCGAGGCCAACUUGCUCCCAGGAAUACAACCGUGCGUCCCAUAAAGAAAGCCUAAAGGUUAUCUUUUUACAACUCAAAGGACUGCCUGGUUUUUAAAAAGAGGUUUUAAAUUGAAGAAGGAGCUGCCAGGCACAGCUGUAGUGUUUUCAAAUCAGCGGUUAAAGUGUUGACUCACAAAAAAAACCCCCAAAAAAACCAAUAACCCUUUCUGCAGGUUUCUUUGGAAAAUGGAAGAUUUGUUGUGUGGUGCAAGGAAAGUGGGAUGAUAAAGGGGCUGGGAAAAGUGCUGGGAGCAAGGUUGGGUGCUGGCGAUGGCUUUUCUCAAAUAAGAUAGAAAGAACUGCAGGAAAACUUUUUUUUUUUAGUUUGGAUCCCAGGUUAAUGGCAGUCACAUCCCAGCCAGCUCCCUGCAGCGCUGUUCUUCCCCACAGAGCAUUCAGACCUAUUUUCUGCGUGUUCCUUUGACACAGCCUAAAAAAAAAAUAGAUUUCUUAAAUGAAAAGCAGUCUGAUUCUGCUGAUUCUGGGAGAGGCAAAACCCAGCAGGGAUUAUACAAGAACAGCCCAAGUGUGGAUUUCUCCAGGUCAUGCAGCACAGGGGUUGAAGCCGCCAUCUCUCGGUCUCCUCACGGCAUGGAAAAUCCCCAAAAGUGCUUAGGGGAAAAAAAAAAAAAAAAAAAAAAAAAAAAAAAAAAAAAAAAAAAAAAAAAAAAAAAAAAAAAAAAAAGCCCCAAACGUACGAGGAUUGAUUUAUCAUCGGAGCCGGAGCGGUAUGGGAAGAAGCGAUCGCUGCUCGCCUGCUCCCCACGACAGCUCACCCGCCUUUCGCUUAAUUAAAAUCAUAUAUUGGUGUGAUCAGACGUGGUAAUGCCAUUAAAAAAAAAAAACCCAAAUCCCGUAACAUCCACCCACUCGUUGUUGGAGGCUGUAGCCAAGGUACCAUGCUUUUUUUUUGUUUUGUUUUGUUGUUUUAAAUAUUACUUUAAUGUUGCCUUACCCUUUUUUCCUGCAUCAGUGUUACCGGCUAUAACAUUGCUUGUUAUUUCUUAAAAGCUACGUACCAAAAAUAUUGCUUUUUUUUUUUCCCAUAGAAUUGCAGAUUUAGGCCUAUACAGAUGCUCUUUUAUUUCUAUGGAUACAUAAAUACUUAUAUGUAUUUAAUAAAUAUAAAUAUAUAAAUACUGCUAUAUAUUUA
rnacentral:lncRNA from 1 species